rnacentral:rRNA from 1 species
ACGCUGGCGGCGUGCCUAAUACAUGCAAGUAGAACGCUGAAGGAGGAGCUUGCUCUUCUGGAUGAGUUGCGAACGGGUGAGUAACGCGUAGGUAACCUGCCUGGUAGCGGGGGAUAACUAUUGGAAACGAUAGCUAAUACCGCAUAACAGUAGAUGUUGCAUGACAUUUGCUUAAAAGGUGCAAUUGCAUCACUACCAGAUGGACCUGCGUUGUAUUAGCUAGUUGGUGGGGUAACGGCUCACCAAGGCGACGAUACAUAGCCGACCUGAGAGGGUGAUCGGCCACACUGGGACUGAGACACGGCCAAACUCCUACGGGAGGCAGCAGUAGGGAAUCUUCGGCAAUGGACGGAAGUCUGACCGAGCAACGCCGCGUGAGUGAAGAAGGUUUUCGGAUCGUAAAGCUCUGUUGUAAGAGAAGAACGAGUGUGAGAGUGGAAAGUUCACACUGUGACGGUAUCUUACCAGAAAGGGACGGCUAACUACGUGCCAGCAGCCGCGGUAAUACGUAGGUCCCGAGCGUUGUCCGGAUUUAUUGGGCGUAAAGCGAGCGCAGGCGGUUAGAUAAGUCUGAAGUUAAAGGCUGUGGCUUAACCAUAGUACGCUUUGGAAACUGUUUAACUUGAGUGCAAGAGGGGAGAGUGGAAUUCCAUGUGUAGCGGUGAAAUGCGUAGAUAUAUGGAGGAACACCGGUGGCGAAAGCGGCUCUCUGGCUUGUAACUGACGCUGAGGCUCGAAAGCGUGGGGAGCAAACAGGAUUAGAUACCCUGGUAGUCCACGCCGUAAACGAUGAGUGCUAGGUGUUAGACCCUUUCCGGGGUUUAGUGCCGUAGCUAACGCAUUAAGCACUCCGCCUGGGGAGUACGACCGCAAGGUUGAAACUCAAAGGAAUUGACGGGGGCCCGCACAAGCGG